UACGUAGGGGGCAAGCGUUAUCCGGAUUUACUGGGUGUAAAGGGAGCGUAGACGGUGCAGCAAGUCUGAUGUGAAAGGUCGGGGCCCAACCCCGGGACUGCAUUGGAAACUGUUGAACUGGAGUACAGGAGAGGUAAGUGGAAUUCCUAGUGUAGCGGUGGAAUGCGUAGAUAUUAGGAGGAACAUCAGUGGCGAAGGCGACUUUCUGGACUGUAACUGACGCUGAGGCACGAAAGUGUGGGGAGCAAACAGG
rnacentral:rRNA from 1 species